rnacentral:rRNA from 1 species
AUGACGUUCAUCGUGCCCUCCUCCGGCACAUCUACGACGUGGAUGAGCCCACGCCGUCCGCGCCCAAGCUGCAGGAUCUUCCGCUCGACGAAAUGCACCGGAGCACCACCCAGCGCCGCGGCGCCCGCCGGGCUGCCGUCAAGCCCGACCGCCAUCAUGUCAUUCUUGAAGGCGUGGGAGGUCAUCCGCACCUGCGUGCUCGCGCGGCGGUGGCGCCAUCUCUGGGCGUCCGUGCCCUGCGUCGAUCUCCGCGUGCGCCCCUCCACUGGCCGCUACGGCGACCCGCCUGAGAAGUUCCGCGACUUCGUGCACCGGAUCUUCCUCCUCCGGGACGAAUCGGCGCUCGUGGUCAUGCUCCGCCUGCGGUCGAGUGACGAAGAAGCGGGCUUCACCGAUGACGACGCCAGGGCGUGGAUGAGGGCCGCCAUCAAGCGCAACGCGCGGGUUAUCCAUCUCACCGGGCGUUGCUCGGAGAUCGCGUCGUUGGACCGCGUGUCGUUCAUCUCUUGCCACCUCAAGGUCUUGAAGCUGUCGGAUGCCAUGCUCGACUACAGGAUCCUCGGGCAGCUUUCUUCUAGUUGCACGUCUUUGGAAGUACUACGUCUGAAGGAUUGCUUGGUGGCUGGCCCUAGGAUUGUGUCUGCCUCUUUGAAGAGUUUAAUCAUGCUCGAAUGCGAGAUCAGUUGCGCCUUCUCCAUUGCUGCUCCGAACCUCCUACUUCUGCACCUCAUCACACCUUACGUCCGAGUCCCAUCAUUCAAGAAUUUGGGGUCACUUGUCACAGCUACUAUCAUACUUGAUGACUCUUUCUUGGGUGAUGACAAUGAAUGCAUCAGUGAUGAAGAUUAUUGUGAUGGAACUACUGAUGACGACGGGGAUGAUAGCGACAAUAAUGAUUGGACAGAGAGCUCGAAGAUUCAUGAUGAGUCUUCCUUGAGUAAUGAUGUUGGAUAUGAUGAUUUUAUAAGGUUUGGAUAUGGACAUGGUUUUGCUGAAGGAAUUUAUAGGCAUGGUCGUUACAAGGAUAAUUAUGAUUAUGGUGGUGAUAUCAACAGCGAUGACAAUACCUAUGCAUACAGUGAGAUUGCAAAUGAUGCAGAGUAUGGCGACAAAGGUAAAGGCCUGAUUUCCAGUAAAGAUAGUAUCUAUGGUGGAUAUAGAGAAUGCAAUGAUGCAAAGAUUUUAGGUGGCCGUCAUAUUCUUCAGAGUCUUUCAAGUGCUAGAACUUUGGAGUUGUUGACUGAUGCUGGAGAGGUGGUUCUGAGUAGGGAACUGAAUACAUGUCCAAUUUUUGGCAACCUGAAGACCCUGUCCCUUGGCGAAUGGUGUAUGGCUGCAGACUUUGAUGCAUUAAUUUUCUUGCUGCCGCACUCACCUAAUAUACAGAAACUCUUUCUCCAACUUAAAAUUAACUUCAAUGCCAAAAAGGCAUCAGAAACAGGUAUCAAACUACAGAGAAGAUCAUUUACUUGCAAAGAUCUUCGAAUGGUGAAGAUCACAUGCUCAAAGGAUGAUGGGAGAGUCCAUAAGCUGGCAAAUUUGUUUAUGGCAAAUGGUAUGCCAGUCGAGAAAAUUUAUGUCCGCCACAGCGGGAGUGCUUAUCUCCGCAGCCAGAAGCAGACGAAGGAGUUCUGGGGGGUGUAA